rnacentral:misc_RNA from 1 species
GAUGAAGAACGUAGCGAAAUGCGAUAAGUAAUGUGAAUUGCAGAAUUCAGUGAAUCAUCGAAUCUUUGAACGCACAUUGCGCCCAUUAGUAUUCUAGUGGGCAUGCCUGUUCGAGCGUCAUUAAGUCCACUUAAGCCCUGCUUAGUGUUGGGAGACUGCUCCAGCGGUGCUACCCUGUAGCUACCCUGCAGCUCCUCAAAGACAGCGGCGGAGUUGUGGUAUCCUCUGAGCUUAGUAACUUGUUCUAGCUUUCGAGUACACAACUUCCCCUGCCGUAAAACCCUUAAUUUUUAAUGGUUGACCUCGGAUCAGGUAGGAAUACCCGCUGAACUUAAGCAUAUCAAUAAGCGGAGGA